rnacentral:tRNA from 1 species
GCCGCGGUGGCGGAACUGGCAGACGCACACGACUCAAAAUCGUGCGGGGUUUCCCCAUGAGGGUUCGAUUCCCUCCCGCGGCA